UCUUCUGAAGUUUUCAUUGAAGAAGAUACAUGUUUUCACGCAUUGUGCAUUUUUUAAUUGUUUUUUUGUUUUUUUGUUUUUUUUAUAUUCAUUUUUUUUCUAACAAGCUUUUCAUAUGUAUAGGUUUAAACCAUUCUUAUAAAUAUGCCAAUCUUGAAACUGAACUGCAGGAAAGGUUUCCGGAGUAUCGUGUCUCUAGCGGAUUUUAUAAUCCGACUAAAGCCAUGACCCUUUCCUGUAUCUUGAUUGUUUUAAGCUUCAUACCGAUGUUAUUUAACGGUUGCUACACAAAAAUCUGGAACUUAAUUGCAUAUAUAAGGAGGAGACAGGAUGCAAUGUUAAUAACUGGUUUACUAGUGGGUUGCACAUUGUUGCAUCUAACAGAGAUCAAUGCUUUCGAAGUUUCUCUGGAGGGCAGUACUAUAUUCUCAACUAAGUAUCCUGAAAAGAUCCCAACGGUAGAACAGUUGGUGAUAAUCGUUCAAAAUUAUGGAACCAAAAUUAUGUUAAUUAGGAUUCUUUUUUGGGUAGCAAUGAUUGUUGUUACAGUCAAAUUAGAAAAUUCAAUGCCUGCUUGAAGCGUUACAAGGUUCCAACGAAACUGGGGAAACGCAAGGCAUUUUAGAACACGCCGCUAAAAGACGUGAGAAAUUUCCAAAAUCAAAAUUUGAAUUUUAAAAAAAUAAUUUAAAUUGAAUAAAUUA